AAGACUAUACUUCACAGGAUCAUUUCUGUAGUCAGUCUUCACUUACUUUCACACAAAAUGAAAGCACACCAUACCCACGCUGAUGAGAUGAAUCGGUUUAUUCGGUAGCGUGAGGAUUUGCGUUAUGCCCUUUACGUUGUGACUUGUUGCACGUAUGAUGGGUGUAGCGCUUCGAUGAUCGCUCGGUCACACGAAUAAAACGAAUUCUGAGUGGU
rnacentral:snoRNA from 15 species